rnacentral:lncRNA from 1 species
UGUGGUUCAAGUGCUAACCUAGGACUCAGAAGAGAAGUGUUCAAUGUCCUGCUGUGCUACAGACUUCUGGAGCAAGAAGUGUGAUAUUUCAUUUCAUCACCUCUGACAAAGGCAUCAUUUCAUCUGUAUUCUAGGGAUUUUAUUCAGAUUAAGGAAUUACUUAACAGUAACAGCAUGACUGUGCUUUGAUUUAUUUUUUCUAAAAUAUUGAAACAGAAAAACAAGAGAAAGAAGGAAGUUGCUUUUAUAUUAAUAGUUCCUCAAGACCUUAAAAAGGAACAUCUGAUCUUGGGAAACAAGAGAACAACUUCUGGAGAGAUGUGUUGGUAAAGCCAAGUCCCAAGAGGGAUGGCUGAAGAAUGAUCAAAAGCUUGGAUUAAUUCUUUUUUUUUUUUUUUUACUUAGGUUGUUUUUAUCAUUUUGUUUUGGUUCCUGGAAUUUCUUAUUAAUUUUACAAGUCCUGUUACAGACUGGUUUUUUUGAACUUCCUUCCUGCUCAUUUAAUUUAAUGGAUGAAUAAAACUUUUCCACAGAAAUUACAAUAGCAGGAAAAGUUUAUAAGACCAUAUGCAGCAGACUUUGAGAACAUCCAUGCCUGUAAUAGGUCUUUGAUAAAUUCUGACAGUUGUCAGUCUUCUAAUGCAGAAGUCAUUUGACACUCUUAUUCUGUAUUGAGACCAUUACAUAUCAGAAAUAACAAGUGACUACUGAAUCUCUAUUUGAUGGUGUCCAAGAGCACUCCUGUGAACUUAUGAACUAAAGCACAAAAAAAUUCACUGGAGAAAAGACACUUGGGGGAAAAAUAAGACUUCUUUGUGUUUGGUGAGCAUCCAGGACUCAGCUUUCUGUAUUGUUAAUAUAUUCAUAAAAAAUUGGAAGCUUUGUUCACUGAUUUACCUAAGUGAUAAGAUUUUAAUGCUGAUUGUACUCUACUUGGGCCAGUAUAAGGUAAAAUAAUAAAAC